rfam:Triticum urartu cultivar G1812 contig493729, whole genome shotgun sequence.
AAUCUACUCCCUCCGUCCGGAAAUACUUGUCGGAUAAAUAGAUAAAAAUGGAUGUAUUUAGAACUAAAAUACAUCUAGAUACAUCCAUUCCUUCGACAAGUAUUUUCGGUCGGACGGAGUAGAUA